rnacentral:rRNA from 1 species
AUUGAACGCUGGCGGCAUGCUUUACACAUGCAAGUCGAACGGUAACAGGGAGCUUGCUCCGCUGACGAGUGGCGAACGGGUGAGUAAUGCGUCGGAACGUGCCGAGUAGUGGGGGAUAACGCAUCGAAAGGUGUGCUAAUACCGCAUACGUACUGAGGUAGAAAGUGGGGGACCUUCAGGCCUCACGCUAUUCGAGCGGCCGACGUCUGAUUAGCUAGUUGGUGAGGUAAAGGCUCACCAAGGCGACGAUCAGUAGCGGGUCUGAGAGGAUGAUCCGCCACACUGGGACUGAUACACGACCCAGACUCCUGCGGGAGGCAGCAGUGGGGAAUUUUGGACAAUGGGCGCAAGCCUGAUCCAGCCAUGCCGCGUGUCUGAAGAAGGCCUUCGGGUUGUAAAGGACUUUUGUCGGGGAGGAAAUCCCCAGCGCUAAUACCGCUGGGGGAUGACAGUACCUGAAGAAUAAGCACCGGCUAACUACGUGCCAGCAGCCGCAGUAAUAC